CCCAUCUCUCCAGCCUGUCCAGGUCCCUCUGAAUGGCAGCACAGCCCUCUGGUGUAUCAGCCACUCCUCCCAGUUUUGUAUCAUCAGCAAACUUGCUGAGGGUGCACUCUGUCCCUUCAUCCAGGUCACUGAUGAGGAAGUUGAACAAUAUUGGACCCAGCAUUGACCCCUGGGGCACACCGCUAGUUACUGGCCUCCAAGUAGACUUUGCACUGCUGAGCACAACCCUCUGAGCUUUGCCAUUCAGCCAGUUUUCAGUCCACCUCCCUGUCUGCUCAUCUAGCUUGCACUUCCUCAGCUUGCCUAUGAGGAUCUUAUGAGAGACAGUGUCAAAAGCCUUGCCGAAGCCAAGGGAGACAACAUCCACUGCUCUCCCCUCCUCUACCCAGCGAGUCAUCCCAUCACAGAAGGCUCUCAGGCUGGUUAAGCAUGAUUUCCCCUUUGUGAAUCCAUGCUGACUACUACUGAUCACCUUCUUAUCCUUCUGGAGCCUGGAAAUGGUAUCCGGGAUGAGCUGUUCCAUCAUCUUCCCAAGGAUUGAGGUGAGGCUGCCUGGCCUGUAGUUCUGGAAAAGGAAAGUCAAACAAAGGAAUUCAGAUCUCGUUAUGCACUGAUUUACUGAAAGAUCAGGAGUGCUUAUAAGCCGGCAUACUGUUUCACAACUUCAAUGCACUCUGGCAAACAGAAAGACACAACACAAGCAGCUACUGAUCAACAACCUUACAACGUUAACUGAUAAGAGCAAUGGCCAGAACAUGGAACUAUUCCUGUGAGUCAAGACUUCAGCAAUACCUUGAUAUUUGUGAAUUAUGCAGAAUUUGCUUAUAAUACACAGACUUAUCCAGCUCUAUUGCCUAGAGAAAAACACAUUUUAUCAUCACUAUUCAUGCCUUCCAUUCUUGACACCUCUUUGAAAGUACAAGAAGUGCUGCCUUGUGUAACAUUGUGGUCAUCCGCUCUAGGGAGAGAUUCCUGCUACAUUAUGAGUUGGUGGUAAGCCUUACUUUCUGGCAUAAUAAAAAUAGAUGGUCUGUCAAAAGAUGAUGUUCUCAAUGCUUUGUUUUGUAGUUCUAUCCUGCCAUCUUCUCUGAAUUAGCAAAUGUGAAAUGCAGCAUAUGGAUUUAUGAAAAGAAAAGUGCAAGAUGUGAAAUAUCCUGAGUAUCUGGAUCUUCGAACAUACGCAUCUCAAUCCGUUGGAGAACCACUCCUCUAUGCCUUAUAUGCAGUCCUGGUAUAUAGAGGUGUCAGUAGUCAUGCAGGACGUUAUUUCUGCUACACAAAGGUAAAUAACAAUUUCAUUUCUAACAGGGUGAGCUCUGUGCUGGUGAGGAGGUACUUGCAUGAAAACUUUACUGGUAACCACUGCUUUUAGGGAAAAAGGUUUUAUUUCAUGUUUAAUUUGAUCUUUUUUGGUGUAUUCUCUGUUCUGAAGAGUUCUCUUUGUGUUUUCAUUUAGAAAGUGUGCAGUUCCUCUGAAGACAUGGCUGCUUUUAUUUGCAGGCUGCUGGUAGACUUUGAUAUGAGAUGAAUGAUGCCUCUGUAGUCUUUUGUGAAAUCAAAAUGGUUCUCAGUCAGCAAGCUUAUUUACUUUUUAA